UACGUAGGGUGCAAGCGUUGUCCGGAAUUAUUGGGCGUAAAGAGCUCGUAGGCGGUUUGUCGCGUCGAAUGUGAAAACCCGGGGCUCAACCCCGGGCCUGCAUUCGAUACGGGCAGACUAGAGUUCGGUAGGGGAGUCUGGAAUUCCUGGUGUAGCGGUGAAAUGCGCAGAUAUCAGGAGGAACACCGGUGGCGAAGGCGGCUCCUGGCCUACUACUGACGCUGUGGCGCGAAAGCUGGGGGAGCGAACGGG
rnacentral:rRNA from 1 species